rnacentral:rRNA from 1 species
CCAGUUUCGAAGCCGGUCUCCUGGACCUAUACUGACGCUGAUGCUCGAAAGCUGGGGGAUCGAACAGGAUUAGAUACCCUGGUAGUCCCAGCCGUAAACGAUGGACACUAGUUGCCGGAGGAGUCAAUCCCUUCGGUGACGAAGCUAACGCAUUAAGUGUCCCGCCUGGGGAGUACGCUCGCAAGGGUGAAACUCAAAGGAAUUGACGGGGGCCCGCACAAGCGGUGGAGCAUGUGCUUUAAUUCGAUGCAACGCGAAGAACCUUACCUGGGUUUGACAUGGGGGUGAAAGUUUCCAGAGAUGGAAGCCUUUCCUUCGGGAACACCCCACACAGGUGCUGCAUGGUUGUCGUCAGCUCGUGUCGUGAGAUGUUGGGUUAAGUCCCGCAACGAGCGCAACCCCUGCCCUUAGUUGCCAUCAGGUAAAGCUGGGAACUCUAAGGGGACAGCUUGGUAUAACCAGGAGGAAGGUGGGGAUGACGUCAAAUCAUCAUGGCUCUUACGCCCAGGGCUAGACACGUGCUACAAUGGCAGGUACAGUGGGAUGCCAGCCUGCGAAGGUGAGCUAAUCCCUUAAAACCUGUCUCAGUCCGGAUUGGAGUCUGCAACUCGACUCCAUGAAGUUGGAAUCGCUAGUAAUCGCGGAUCAGCACGCCGCGGUGAUACGUUCCCGGGCCUGUACACACCGCCCGUCAAGCCAUGAAAGGCGGUAGUACCCGAAGUCGCGUACCCAACCGUAAGGAGGGAAGCGCCGAAGGUA